GAGUUUGAUCAUGGCUCAGGAUGAACGCUAGCGGCAGGCUUAAUACAUGCAAGUCGAGGGGCAGCAUGAUUGUAGCAAUACAAUUGAUGGCGACCGGCAAACGGGUGCGGAACACGUACACAACCUUCCUGUAACUGGGGCAUAACCCGGAGAAAUUCGGAUUAAUACCCCAUAGCAUAAUGAUGUGGCAUCACAUUAUUAUUAAAGAUUCAUUGGUUACAGAUGGGUGUGCGUAUGAUUAGCUAGUUGGUGUAGGUAACGGCUCACCAAGGCGACGAUCAUUAACUGGUGUGAGAGCACGACCAGUCACACGGGCACUGAGACACGGGCCCGACUCCUACGGGAGGCAGCAGUAAGGAAUAUUGGUCAAUGGACGCAAGUCUGAACCAGCCAUGCCGCGUGAAGGAUGAAGGUCCUCUGGAUUGUAAACUUCUUUUAUAGGGGAAGAAAUGCAUUUUUUCUAAAGUGUUUGACGGUACCCUAGGAAUAAGCACCGGCUAACUCCGUGCCAGCAGCCGCGGUAAUACGGAGGGUGCAAGCGUUAUCCGGAUUCACUGGGUUUAAAGGGUGCGUAGGCGGGUAUGUAAGUCAGUGGUGAAAUCCUCGAGCUUAACUCGAGAACUGCCAUUGAUACUAUGUAUCUUGAAUGUCAUGGANGUGAGCGGAAUAUGUCAUGUAGCGGUGAAAUGCUUAGAUAUGACAUAGAACACCGAUUGCGAAGCAGCUCCUACACGAAUAUUGACGCUGAGCACGAAACGUGGGGAUCAACAGGAUAGAUACC
rnacentral:rRNA from 1 species